GCAGCUGUGGCCUACUGGUUAGAACUUCGGACUUGUAAUCAGAGGGUUGCCGGUUCGAACCACGACCAGUAGGCA
rnacentral:tRNA from 1 species